GAUGAACGCUGGCGGUAUGCUUUACACAUGCAAGUCAUACGGAGGUUAGUUUCGGCUAACUUCAGUGGCGGAUGGGUGAGUAACACGUGAGAAUUCGACUUUAGGAGGGGGAUAACAGGGGGAAACACCUGCUAAAACCCCAUAUGCCUUCGGGUCAAAAGAGUAAUCUGCCUAAAGAGAAGCUCGCGGCUGAUUAGCUAGUUGGUAGGGUAAAGGCCUACCAAGGGGACGAUCAGUAGCUGGUCUGAUAGGACGAUCAGCCACACUGGAACUGAGACACGGUCCAGACUCCUACGGGAGGCAGCAGUGAGGAAUUUUCUGCAAUGGGCGAAAGCCUGACAGAGCAAUACCGCGUGAGGGAAGAAGGCUUACUGAGUUGUAAACCUCUGUUACCUAAGGAGGAAGAUCUGACGUUACUUAGGAGACGAAGCAUCGGCUAACUCCGUGCCAGCCGCCGCAGUAACAC
rnacentral:rRNA from 1 species